AUACGGAGGAUCCGAGCGUUAUCCGGAUUUAUUGGGUUUAAAGGGUGCGCAGGCGGGAGAUUAAGUCGGCGGUGAAAUUUUGCAGCUCAACUGUAAAAGUGCCUUCGAAACUGGUUUCCUUGAGUGUAGAUGAAGUAGGCGGAAUUUGUGGUGUAGCGGUGAAAUGCAUAGAUAUCACGAGGAACUCCGAUUGCGCAGGCAGAUUCCUAAACUACUACUGACGCUCAGGCACGAAGGCGUGGGGAUCAAACAGGAUUAGAUACCCUGGUAGUCCACGCAGUAAACGAUGAGUACUAGCUGUUUGCGAUACAAUGUAAGCGGCUGAGCGAAAGCGUUAAGUAAUCCACCUGGGGAGUACGGUCGCAAGAAGGAAACUCAAAUGAAUUGGAGGGG
rnacentral:rRNA from 1 species